rnacentral:rRNA from 1 species
CCUACGGGAGGCAGCAGUGGGGAAUAUUGGACAAUGGGCGAAAGCCUGAUCCAGCAAUGCCGCGUGAGUGAUGAAGGCCUUAGGGUUGUAAAGCUCUUUUACCAGGGAUGAUAAUGACAGUACCUGGAGAAUAAGCUCCGGCUAACUCCGUGCCAGCAGCCGCGGUAAUACGGAGGGAGCUAGCGUUAUUCGGAAUUACUGGGCGUAAAGCGUACGUAGGCGGUUAUUCAAGUCAGAGGUGAAAGCCCGGGGCUCAACCCCGGAACUGCCUUUGAAACUAGAUAACUAGAGUCUUGGAGAGGUUAGUGGAAUUCCGAGUGUAGAGGUGAAAUUCGUAGAUAUUCGGAAGAACACCAGUGGCGAAGGCGACUAACUGGACAAGUACUGACGCUGAGGUACGAAAGCGUGGGGAGCAAACAGGAUUAGAUACCCUGGUAGUCCACGCCGUAAACGAUGAUAACUAGCUGUCCGGGCACUUGGUGCCUGGGUGGCGCAGCUACGACAUUAAGUUAUCCGUCCGUCGGGUAGGUACGGUCGCGAAGAAUUAAACUAACAAAGAAGUUAGUACGGCGUGAGACGUGCCGAACGACGACGACGAGGGAGUAGG